UACGUAGGGAGCAAGCGUUGUUCGGAGUUACUGGGCGUAAAGGGUGCGUAGGCGGCUUCUUAAGUUUGGUGUGAAAUCUCCCGGCUCAACUGGGGAGGGUCACGCGAUACUGAUCGACUCGAAGGCAGGAGAGGGUAGUGGAAUUCCCGGUGUAGUGGUGAAAUGCGUAGAUAUCUGGAGGAACACCGGUGGCGAAGGCGGCAUCCUGGACCGGCAUUGACGCUGAGGCGCGAAAGCCAGGGGAGCAAACGGG
rnacentral:rRNA from 1 species